CCUACGGGUGGCAGCAGUCGAGAAUCAUUCACAAUGGGCGAAACUCUGAUGGUGCGACGCCGCGUGGGGGAAUGAAGGUCUUUGGAUUGUAAACCCCUGUCAUAUGGGAGCAAAUUAAAAAGCUAGUACCACAAGAGGAAGAGACGGCUAACUCUGUGCCAGCAGCCGCGGUAAUACAGAGGUCUCAAGCGUUAUUCGGUAUGACUGGGCGGAAAGGGUGGGUAGGCUGUUGCGUAAGUCGUGUGUGAAAGGCGCGGGCUCAACCCGCGGAUGGCACAUGAUACUGCGAGGCUAGAGUAAUGGUGGGGGAACCGGAAUGCUCGGUGUAGCAGUGAAAUGCGUAGAUAUC
rnacentral:rRNA from 1 species